rnacentral:lncRNA from 1 species
CGAAGCUUGUGAUGGAGGCAGGACUCCCGUGGAUGUCGCUGGGGCGGCGGGUUCAGGAUGGCCCCGAGCAGGGAAGACAGAGACCAGGGGCACAGUACUAUGGGGCUCCCCUCGAGGGUGGAGGGGACCUGGCUGAGGGCUCUGCGGGGACCCAGAGGCAGCGUGGCAUGAAUGGUCUACAUGCCCCGGGUGUGAAUUCUCGCUCUGCCACUUACCAGGUAUUAGCUAACCUCUCUGUGCCUUCAUCUCCCCACUUGUGGAAUGACUGCACCUGCGUUGUCGUGGUCGAACCUGCAAACAAUCCACGAGGAAGCCGGUCACAAAGGACCACGGGUUACCUGAUUCCAUUUGCGUGAGAUGUCCAGAAUGGCAAAGUUAUAGAGACAGAAGGUCUCCAGUAUUCCGUACAUGAAGGGACUUCUGCGCGGUCUGCCCUUUUUCACUGCCUUCAUCUGGCGAUGAUCAAUUCAUCCUCCAGAAUCAGCUUACCUCAAACCCCUGCUGGAGAGCCUUCUGCACCAGACCCAGUUCCUGGGCCACCCCAGAUCCACUGAGCCCCGUCUGCACAGUGGCCUGCUCUCCUGCCCUGUUUCUUGCCCAGAGCAGCCCUAGCGACGGCUCACUCCGUUUUCACAGUUGGAAGGCGCCAGCCACUGCCACUGACCGAGGACUUCCUCAGCCCGGAGCCAGCACAGAGGG